UACGAAGGGAGCUAGCGUUGUUCGGAAUCACUGGGCGUAAAGCGCACGUAGGCGGAUUUGUCAGUCAGGGGUGAAAUCCCGGGGCUCAACCUCGGAACUGCCUUUGAUACAGCAAGUCUUGAGUUCGGGAGAGGUGAGUGGAACUGCGAGUGUAGAGGUGAAAUUCGUAGAUAUUCGCAAGAACACCAGUGGCGAAGGCGGCUCACUGGCCCGAUACUGACGCUGAGGCACGAAAGCGUGGGGAGCAAACAGG
rnacentral:rRNA from 1 species